GACGAACGCUGGCGGCGUGCUUAGCACAUGCAAGUCGCGGGGGGUGAGCAAUCACUCACCGGCGAACGGGUGCGUAACACGUGAGCGACCUGCCCACUUGUGGGGUAUAGCCGGCCCAACGGCCGGGUAAUCCCGCAUACGCUUCUCUGGCUGCAUGGCCGGGGGAGGAAAGCCGUAAGGCGCAAGUGGAGGGGCUCGCGGCCUAUCAGCUAGUUGGCGGGGUAACGGCCCACCAAGGCGAUGACGGGUAGCUGGUCUGAGAGGAUGGCCAGCCACAUUGGGACUGAGAUACGGCCCAGACUCCUACGGGAGGCAGCGAGUGGGGAAUCUUGCGCAAUGGUCGAAAGACUGACGCAGCGACGCCGCGUGCGGGAGGAA
rnacentral:rRNA from 1 species